CAACAAGCCAUUGAUCGGUACGGGUUGUGAGAGCAAGAGCCCGGAGAUGGAUUCUGAGACACGAAUCCAGGCCCUACGGGGCGCAGCAGGCGCGAAAACUUUACAAUGCGAGAAAUCGUGAUAAGGGAACCCCGAGUGCCCGUAAAUUCGGGCUGUCCGCCAGUGUAAAUAACUGGUGAAGAAAGGGCCGGGCAAGACCGGUGCCAGCCGCCGCGGUAAUACCGGCGGCUCGAGUGGUGGCCACUAUUACUGGGCUUAAAGCGUCCGUAGCUGGAUUGUUAAGUCUCUUGGGAAAUCCACCGGCUCAACCGAUGGGCGUUCAGGAGAAACUGGCAAUCUAGGGACCGGGAGAGGUGAGAGGUACUCCAGGGGUAGGAGUGAAAUCCUGUAAUCCUUGGGGGACCACCUGUGGCGAAGGCGUCUCACUAGAACGGCUCCGACAGUGAGGGACGAAAGCUGGGGGAGCAAACCGGAUUAGAUACCCGGGUAGUCCCAGCUGUAAACGAUGCGCGUUAGGUGUAUCGGUGACCACGAGUCAUCGAGGUGCCGAAGGGAAACCGUGAAACGUGC
rnacentral:rRNA from 1 species